GCUUACGGCCAUACCAACCGGGCUAUGCCCGAUCUCGUCUGAUCUCGGAAGCUAAGCAGGUUUGGGCCUGGUUAGUACUUGGAUGGGAGACCGCCUGGGAAUACCAGGUGCUGUAAGCU
rnacentral:rRNA from 1 species